rnacentral:rRNA from 1 species
GAUGAACGCUGGCGGCGUGCUUAACACAUGCAAGUCGAACGGUGAAGCAGGAGCUUGCUCCUGUGGAUCAGUGGCGAACGGGUGAGUAACACGUGAGCAAUCUGCCCUGGACUCUGGGAUAAGCGUUGGAAACGACGUCUAAUACCGGAUACGAGGCGUGGGGGCAUCCCCAACGACUGGAAAGAACUUAGGUCCAGGAUGAGCUCGCGGCCUAUCAGGUAGUUGGUGAGGUAACGGCUCACCAAGCCUACGACGGGUAGCCGGCCUGAGAGGAUGAUCAGCCACACUGGGGCUGAGACACGGCCCAGACUCCUACGGGAAGCAGCAGUGGGGAAUCUUAGACAAUGGGCGCAAGCCUGAUCUAGCCAUGCCGCGUGAGCGAUGAAGGCCUUAGGGUUGUAAAGCUCUUUCAGCUGGGAAGAUAAUGACUGUACCAGCAGAAGAAGCCCCGGCUAACUCCGUGCCAGCCGCCGCAGUAAUAC